rnacentral:rRNA from 1 species
GUCGUAACAAGGUCUCCGUAGGUGAACCUGCGGAGGGAUCAUUACACAAAUAUGAAGGCGGGCUGGAACCUCUCGGGGUUACAGCCUUGCUGAAUUAUUCACCCUUGUCUUUUGCGUACUUCUUGUUUCCUUGGUGGGUUCGCCCACCACUAGGACAAACAUAAACCUUUUGUAAUUGCAAUCAGCGUCAGUUACAAAUUAAUAAUUACAACUUUCAACAACGGAUCUCUUGGUUCUGGCAUCGAUGAAGAACGCAGCGAAAUGCGAUAAGUAGUGUGAAUUGCAGAAUUCAGUGAAUCAUCGAAUCUUUGAACGCACAUUGCGCCCUUUGGUAUUCCAAAGGGCAUGCCUGUUCGAGCGUCAUUUGUACCCUCAAGCUUUGCUUGGUGUUGGGCGUCUUGUCUCUAGCUUUGCUGGGGACUCGCCUUAAAGUAAUUGGCAGCCGGCCUACUGGUUUCGGAGCGCAGCACAAGUCGCACUCUCUAUCAGCAAAGGUCUAGCAUCCAUUAAGCCUUUUUUUCAACUUUUGACCUCGGAUCAGGUAGGGAUACCCGCUGAACUUA